rnacentral:misc_RNA from 1 species
GUUUUACCAGUGUCUUUGGGUUACCAAACUAAAGUUCAAAUCAGAUCCAUGUAAUUCCCUAUUUUUAGGGCCUAGACAUAUAACUUUAUAACUAUGACUUGUAACUUUUUAUGACUAUCUAUGAGAGAGAUGUUUAUACCACAAACUACUUCGAAAUGAAAAUAUAUAAAGAAGUCAAAAACUUACAAUGCCAGCACAAGCAUUGAUAUGAAAAAACACAAUCCCAUGCAACAAAAGCAUUAUUUUCCUUAUAAUUUAUAUAAUCCCCAAGGGAAUGCCCUAAUGAUUAGAAUUUAGAAUUCCACACUGGGGAUUCCAAGCUCUAAUCUGAUCAACGUUGGGCUUGUUCUAUGAAAUGAGGGUGGACUAACCCCUAUCAUGUAGAAAAGGGGAAAAUAUGAAUAAAUACAAAUUGAUGAUAAACUAAUCAACUUAGUCAAUAAAAAUAUUCUGCAUUUGUAAUCAUCUUAUAUACAUUUUUGUGAGAAAUUAGGAGUGUAAGCAAACUAGUGAGCUCAGUGAACAGUUACUGCACAAGCUUGAUAAGAGCCUGUUUUGUGAUUGUUUAUAAUAUUUGUGAAUUUGAUCUUUGUAAGCUUAUUUAUUUAGUAUUUUGAUAUUAGACAAAAGUUGAUUAUUAACCACUUUCAGGCUUUUAAAAUUCAUAAUUUUA